UGGUUGCCGGUCGCACAUGGAUUCGGUAGAACUUUGCCUUCCUGAAUCUUUUUCCCUGCACUACGAGGAAGGCUUCUCUGCAGAAUGUCAAACAAAGAUCGACACAUUGAUUCCAGCUGUUCGUCCUUCAUCAAGACGGAACCUUCCAGCCCAGCCUCCCUGACGGACAGCGUCAACCACCACAGCCCUGGUGGCUCUUCAGACGCCAGUGGGAGCUACAGUUCAACCAUGAAUGGCCAUCAGAACGGACUUGACUCGCCACCUCUCUACCCUUCUGCUCCUAUCCUGGGAGGUAGUGGGCCUGUCAGGAAACUGUAUGAUGACUGCUCCAGCACCAUUGUUGAAGAUCCCCAGACCAAGUGUGAAUACAUGCUCAACUCGAUGCCCAAGAGACUGUGUUU
rnacentral:lncRNA from 1 species